rnacentral:lncRNA from 1 species
UUCAAUCCCAGGCCCGUCCCUUUCCUCGUACUUUGUAGUUGUAUAUCUCUCACUUGGUUCACGGAGAAAAAUGAUCUUAGUUUGAAACAACCAUUUUGUUGGUUGAAAUUCAAUGUAGAGUUUUGGUUGUUUUCAACUGUAGUUUUGUUGAUGCAAACCCCUGAUUUUUAUUGAAACAAAAUAGAUUCAUGGUUGGUGUCAACCUAAGAAAUUAGGUUGUUCUCAAUAAAAUUUUGUUUGUUUCAAACUGAUAAUUUAUAUGUUUUUAACAAAAGUUCAUUUUAUUUUUAACAAAAUGUGGGUUGUUAUAUAUCACUGCCACCAACGAUCUGUAUUAGUUUGUUUGCUUCAUAUCCACGGAGUUUGAUUCAUUAUGUAGUUGAUGAUUGAGCAAAUUUUAUCAACUAUUUUCAGUUAAGAGGUGAAACCAGAAUCAACAAUCAACAUGAGUUCAGAUCCAUUGAAAAGAUUCCUAAGCUUCACCCUUGAUAGAGAAAGAAAUACAUCGACAUUGCCUCACCAUCGUUAAAAAGCAAGAUCUUUGCGAGCAAAUCAAGAAAUUUGGCCAUAUUGAAUAAAAGAAAAUUCAACGCAGAAUGCAGAUGCAAAAUGUGGAUCAACUUCAUUAGAUAUAUGUAAAAAUCAGUAAUCUUAAGAAGAAAUACAUGCUUUGUUCAAAUGCAGUAUUAAUUAAUUUAGUUAUCUUCAAAAAUGAUAAGUCAAUAUGAAUCGAAAAACAGUAAACCUACAAGCAACCAACGAUAUGUUUAUUUCAAACAAGAAAUUUGUUUGCAACAAACUCAAGAUUGGUAACUUCAAACUUAUUUUCUUUGUUUAAAAUAACCUAAAGCGUUGGUUGUUUCAACAAAUGUCAAACUGAAUAACCAAUAUUUUGUUUGUUUUGAACAAACUUUGGUUGAAUUUGAG